rnacentral:rRNA from 1 species
UACGUAGGGUCCGAGCGUUGUCCGGAAUUAUUGGGCGUAAAGGGCUCGUAGGCGGUCCGUCGCGUCGGGAGUGAAAACUCGGAGCUUAACUCCGAGCCUGCUUCCGAUACGGGCAGACUAGAGGUAGGCAGGGGAGAGCGGAACUCCUGGUGUAGCGGUGGAAUGCGCAGAUAUCAGGAAGAACACCCGUGGCGAAAGCGGCUCUCUGGAACGGUACUGACGCUGAGACGCGAAAGCGUGGGGAGCGAACAGG